rnacentral:ncRNA from 1 species
CAAAAGGGGUGCUUAUGGACAACGUUGCCAUAGGCUGAGAAAUACCCUAUGAACCUGAAGCAGAUAAUGCUGCCGUAGGAAUUUGUUCA